UAAUAAAGAAAGGGCAGAGUGUCCCGGAAGAAAGAGACCUAGGCACUGGCUGAAGUCAAGUCCUGGAUGCAGGAGCCUUGGAAAGAGAGCCAGGGGUAAAGUCUGAAGUAGGUCAGAAGAGACACACAAAAGCUUCAUUGACUGGACAUGGGUGAACCAAACGCUGGCCACCGAGGGACUCUCUAGUUGCUCAGAACUUUGGAUGUUACAGGCUUGAUCAAUUUUUGAUCAUCUCUGUCCCCUUAUGAGGAAUCUGGGAUUCCAGAACAAACUAGGCUUCUUGGGAACAGAGACAGCAUUUCAUGUAUCCUAGGCUGGCUUUGAACUCCCUUUGCAGCCAAGGAUGAUCUUGAAUUUCUGAGCCUCCUGGCCCUACCUGAGUGCCAGGAUUGUUGUCAUGGACCACCACAUCCAGUUUAUACAGUACUGGGGAUGAAACUCAGGCCUUUGUGCCUUCUGGGAAAGUGCUCUACCAACAUCUCUAGCCCCUGUCGGAGAAUUCAGGGCAGCUUAGCUGCUGCAUAGACUUACAAAGAGAAGUGUCCUGUGGCCUUAAAGACCCACAGACUCUGCCAUCCCUCUGCAUGACUGAGCCCCUGCUGAGGCCAGGCUGCCUCUGCCUGCUUACACCAGGCAUCCUACCAGGGAGCCUCCCUGAUACUCAAGCCCAGCUUGUUUUGUUUGCUUUUAAGUUUAGAGCUUCUCAACAGGAUCUUAGAGCUUAGGAAGAUGUUGGAUGAUGGUGGGCGGUCACCAAGUUCAGGCUGUCUUAAUGGUUAACUAAUUUUGUUUGGAAAUGGACACAAACUCAGCCUCCCUCCUUCCCCUCUAUAUAAAACAUUUAAAAAGAGAAUUUGCCAUAUACCACAGGAUCCAGCAGUCUCAGCCCAGGCUCAUCUUCCACAGUAAUGAUUGUUUAGGGUGAGGAGAAUGUUCUAGAAAUAAUGGAACAGUUGCCUGACAUUGGAAUGUACUUAAUGCACUGAAUUGUACAAUUAAUAAUAACUAAAAUGACCAAGACAGUGUCUA